CCAAUAGCGUAUAUUAAAGUUGUUGCAGUUAAAAAGCUCGUAGUUGAACUUCGGGGUUUACCCAUUGGUCAGGCUUAAUUGUCUGCACUGGUGAGAUGGAUCUCUACCUUCUGAGGAACUUUCAUGCCAUUCAUUUGGUGUGAUGGGAAAUCAGGACUGUUACUUUGAAAAAAUUAGAGUGUUUAAAGCAGACUAUCGUCUGAAUACAUUAGCAUGGAAUAAUGAAAUAGGACGGACUGAUUCUAUUUCGUUGGUUUCUAGGAUCACCGUAAUGAUUAAUAGGGAUAGUUGGGGGGAUUAGUAUUCAAUUGUCAGAGGUGAAAUUCUUGGAUUUAUUGAAGACUAACUACUGCGAAAGCAUUUGCCAAGGAUGUUUUCAUUAAUCAAGAACGAAAGUUAGGGGAUCGAAGACGAUCAGAUACCGUCGUAGUCUUAACCAUAAACUAUGCCGACUAGGGAUCGGACGAAGUUAAUUUUAUAAUGACGCGUUCGGCACCUUACG
rnacentral:rRNA from 1 species